GAUGCAAGCGUUAUCCGGAAUCAUUGGGCGUAAAGCGCCUGUAGGUUGUUUAGUAAGUUCGUUGUUAAAGACUAGGGCUUAACCCUAGGAAAGCGAUGAAAACUACUAGACUUGAGUAUGGUAGGGGUAGAGGGAAUUUCUAGUGUAGUGGUGAAAUGCGUAGAUAUUAGAAAGAACACCGGUGGCGAAAGCGCUCUACUGGGCCAUUACUGACACUGAGAGGCGAAAGCUAGGGGAGCAAAAGGGAUUAGAUACCCCUGUAGUCCUAGCCGUAAACGAUGGGUACUAGGUGUUGUGUUUUAUAUACAGUACCGUAGCUAACGCGUUAAGUACCCCGCCUGGGGAGUACGCUCGCAAGGGUGAAACUCAAAGGAAUUGACGGGGGCCCGCACAAGCGGUGGAGCAUGUGGUUUAAUUCGAUGCAACGCGAAGAACCUUACCAGAACUUGACAUACUACAAAUCUUUUGGAGACAGAAGAGUACCUUCGGGAAUGUAGAUACAGGUGGUGCAUGGCUGUCGUCAGCUCGUGUCGUGAGAUGUUGGGUUAAGUCCCGCAACGAGCGCAACCCUCGUUUUUAGUUGCCAAUUUAUUGGGAUUUCUAGAAAGACUGCCGGUGAUAAACCGGAGGAAGGUGAGGAUGACGUCAAGUCAGCAUGCCCCUUAUGUUCUGGGCUACACACGUGCUACAAUGACAAAGACAAAGAGUUGCAAAUUCGCGAGAACUAGCUA
rnacentral:rRNA from 1 species